UUUCCGUAGGUGAACCGGCGGAAGGAUCAUUCAUAAUAAAGUGUUUUAUGGCACUUUUUAAAAAUCCAUAUCCACCUUGUGUGCAAUGUUAGAUCUCGUCAAUCUUGGCGAGAUUUUUAUACAUCAACUCAUUCUUUAACUAAUUUGUCUGAAAAAUAUUAUGAAUACUUAAUUCAAAAUACAACUUUCAACAACGGAUCUCUUGGCUCUC
rnacentral:misc_RNA from 1 species